rnacentral:rRNA from 1 species
CCGGGAUAACCCCGGGAAACUGGGGAUAAUACCGGAUGGAUCACUUAUGCUGGAAUGCUUGGUGGUCGAAAGGUGACGCCCUUGGAUGGGUCUGCGGCGGAUUAGGUUGACGCCGGUGUAACGUACCGGCGUGCCUGUAAUCCGUACGGGUUGUGGGAGCAAGAGCCCGGAGAUGGAUUCUGAGACACGAAUCCAGGCCCUACGGGGCGCAGCAGGCGCGAAAACUCUACAAUGCAGGCAACUGCGAUAGGGGGACAUCGAGUGGCAUCCACCUUGGGUGCCUGUCCCACCGUCUAAAAAACGGUGGUUAGCAAGGGCCGGGCAAGACCGGCGCCAGCCGCCGCGGUAAUACCGGCGGCUCGAGUGGUGGCCGAUAUUAUUGAGUCUAAAGGGUCCGUAGCCGGCUUUGCAAGUCCCCUGGGAAAUCCAGCGGCUUAACCGUUGGGCUUUCAUGGGAUACUACAUUGCUUGGGACUGGGAGAGGUAGGAGGUACUCGGGGGGUAGGGGUGAAAUCCUGUAAUCCCCCGGGGACCACCGGUGGCGAAGGCGUCCUACCAGAACAGGUCCGACGGUGAGGGACGAAAGCUAGGGGCACGAACCGGAUUAGAUACCCGGGUAGUCCUAGCCGUAAACGAUGCUCGCUAGGUGUCACAACAGUCGUGAACUGUUGUGGUGCCGUAGGGAAGCCGUGAAGCGAGCCACUUGGGAAGUACGGCCGCAAGGCUGAAACUUGAAGGAAUUGGCGGGGGAGCAC